rnacentral:piRNA from 1 species
UAUCUUACUGUCGGUCCAGAAGGUCUUC